GGUGGACACAGAUCCAGCCUUGUCUGAUUUUAUAAACUAAGAAGGGUUGGGGUUGAUUGGUACUUGGAUGGGAGAUCACGAGGGAAUACCAGUGCUAUCC
rnacentral:rRNA from 1 species